rfam:Salinispira pacifica strain L21-RPul-D2, complete genome.
AGACACCCUGUCCGGUAAAGUUUAGCCAACAGCCGGUACUUAGCCUUGGAGCCGAAGCCGUGAGGUGAGGUUUAAGCGUAGGCAUAGGAGUGUGAGAGCCAUAAGCCGAAAGGUUGAACGUGAUUGAGCCUCGUUAGUAUAAGGAUUGGGUGGUGAUGUUUUUCAUGUGACAGCAACCAGCAAGAAGCACUCGGAAAAGGCGAGAGUGCGGAGAACCCAACGGGGUCUGAGAGCA